GACAUGUUUGUGUAACAUACGAAAGCGGAGUCGGACACAGACAGCGCCUCAGCGGAGAGGAAGACCUGCCACCGGGCCUACGCCUCGAGAGUUGGAAGGAAUACAAUUUACUCAGACCGACUAUGAUUUUAACGGUCAUGAUUAUAUAGACGAAUAUCCCAGCUCUUCGAACCAGGUCAAUCCUAAUGUGUACCACGGAGAAUUAGCGGGCAUUCAGCCUCAA